GAAGUGACGACAUCUGCGGGGCGGAAGUGCUGCGGCUGGCGGGAUGGCAGGGGCGGCUCACAUGCGCAGGUACCCUAGGAGUGACACACAGCUCUAGGGCAGGCAGCAAGAGUGAGGAAGCAGGAUGUUGUCAAGGCCAAAGCCUGGAGAGUCUGAGGCAGAUCUGCUGCGAUUUCAGAAUGAGUUCCUGGCAGCAAGGGCUUCCCCGGCAGUGAAAGUCGUGAAGAAAGCAGACAAGAGGCGAGGAGCUGCUGGCAGUGGAGAUGAGGAGAGACCCCCACUGCAGGACAGCAGGGAUGUGGUGAUACUAGACGACUUUCCUGAUGUGCUCCCAGCCCUAACUCCAGCACCUCCAAAGAAGUCCAAGUUCAAAAAUGCCUGUGUCCGCUUUGAUGAUGAGGAUCCAGAGGAGAGAUUGGAGUGUCAUGAUCGACACAUCACGGCAGUCUUCAGCAAAAUCAUUGAACGAGACACAAGCAUGGCAGCUGUGACCAUGCCAGUGCCCACUGGAGACCCGUUUCCCAGAGCGUUUCACCGGUCUGAAAUAAAAAAUGAGGUGAAGGUGGAAUCUGGAAGAAAAAGUAUCUUUGCACAGAAGAUAGCUGCUAAGAGAGCAGCUGAAGAGGCUGUGACAGCUCCACCUGCUGUUGAGACUAGGCAUACACACAGAAUAUCAGCAGUUCCAGGUGCCAUCUGUUCCCCUGGAUCAGCAGAGGAGGAGCCACUCCACAGCACUAAGGAUGGCAAACCUGAUGAUGAUGUGAGCACUCAGCGACCUCGUAUCAUAACUGGAGAGGGUCUUGGAAACUUGGAGAGUGAGCGGGAAGCUCUGGCUAUCCACGAGGAGAACCUACAGAAGUUGCACUCCAUGACCCAAGAGGAGAUCCUACAGGAACAGAGGAGGCUGCUGGUUCAGCUGGAUCCCAGCUUAGUUGCUUUCUUAAAGUCACAACGUGGUGUUGAGGAAGGCCAGGAGAGACGAGAGAAGCCUGGACAUCCAGAACCUGGGACUGAAUCCCAGCAUGGUGCAAAGGAGACUGUGAAGGAUUUCUCUGUAGGGGGGUCAGGCAUGGAGGAGUCUGUGUGGCCUGAAAAAGAUACAAGAAUGGAAAUUACAGAAGUUGACCUUCCCAUCAAGCCCCAGAAGGAAUGGAUCCACAUGAACAAUGUGGAGUUUGAGAAGCUGGAGUGGAUAAAGGAUCUGCCCCACCCCCGGCAGAGGAGAACCAAAAAGGGAAUGCAAGCACGAUUUAGUUUGAAAGGAGAAUUGAUUCCUCCAGAUGCAGAUUUACCUACUCAUCUGGGUCUACACCACCAUGGAGAAGAAGCAGAAAGGGCUGGUUACUCCCUCCAAGAGCUCUUCCACUUGUGCCGCAGUCAGCUCAUUCAGCAGAGGACAUUGGCACUACAGGUGCUAGGCCAUGUUGUCCAGAAGGCCAAGGCUGGGGAGUUUGCCUCCUCCCUGAAGGGUAGUGUCCUGCGCUUGCUGCUCGAUGCCGGAUUCCUCUUCUUGUUGCGCUUCUCCUUGGAUGAUACAGUGGAUAAUGUCAUUGCGGCAUCUGUCCGGGCUCUCCAUGUACUGCUGGUGUCCCCUGAAGAUGAGGAGUAUCUUGACCAGACUUUCUCAUGGUACCAGGGGAUGGCUGUGUUCCCCUUCACCCCCAACAGUGAAGAGGAGGAGGAGGAGGAAGAGGAAGAGGAAGAAUUGACUCUAAUAGAAAAAACACAAGGGAAAAAAUCAAAGGUUGAAAACAAGCCAGAUCCAGAUGUGGCCCGGUAUGAUGUCAUAAAGGGGCUUCUGAAGACACAGUUUCUUCAUCGGCUGAGGUACAUCCUUGAGGUGGUGCGACCAGUCCCUGCUGUAGUUCUGGACAUCCUGGAUAUUCUCACCCGGGUAGCAAGGCACUCCUCUGAAGCAUGCAGUCAGCUCCUGGCCUGUCCUCGGCUGAUUGAGACCAUCGUUAGAGAGUUUCUCCCUAUCCAGUGGGAUCCCCGGGCAGCUGAACCAGGCCACUUGCUCACCAGCCUCCAUGGCAUUGCGUGUGCCACCGCCAUGAAGUUAAUCAGAGUCCUGGCAUCUGGGGGGAGGAAUGCAACAGCCAGACUGCUUAAUAAAUUUGAGCUGAAGAGUCGACUGAGUCGGUUUAUAGCUGAAGAUCCCCAGGACCUGCCUCUGCGCAGGGAGGAAGCCAUAAGGCUGAGCACUGAGGCUUUCCGGCUGUGGGCUGUGGCUGCUGGCUACGGUCAGUCCUGUGAUCUCUACAGGGAUCUCUACCCCGUGCUGGUGAAGAUUCUCCAGUCCCUGCCCCACUUGCUCAGUGAUUGCCAGGAAAACCCCACAUUUCCACUUUCCAUCCAGCGAGCUACAGCUGUGGUCACCCUGCUGACCCAUGUGACUCAAACUGCAGGAUGCACGGCAGAGCUUCAGGCCCGGCUCAGCAGCAGUGGUCCAGGAGAUGGAGAGCAGAUUCCUCCUCCACCAGUCACCUGGAAUCAGGUGUCAGGCCUGAGACCCUUCCUGGAGACCAAUCUGAGGAGGUCUGUCCAGGAAAUAUCCCGACUCGAAACCUGGCAAGCUCUCCAGCCUCUUACAACAACAUACAUCAUCUACUUGGGGGUUUACUACAGCAUUUGCAGCCAACAGCCAUCACUAAAUCCAGUUGACUGCCUGGAGGAAGUGGAGCGUUUGACAUCUGAGGUUCUGCUGCCUCUCCUCAGCCAGCCUGCCAUGCACAGAAUGUGGGAUCUGCUCAGGCCGUGCUCUGCUCUAUGCAAUCCCCUGUCCUGUUCCCCAGCACCAGAGUCUGUCCCCAGCAUUGUGUCUUUGAGUUGCACUGGAGGGAAACCGCAGAUGAGUUUAGUUGGCUCCAAGUCACCCUUCCCCUUCCUCACUGCCCUCCUCUUCCUCAUCAACAACGUCACCCAUAUCCAUAAAGGGCUGGUCAGCAAGUACACCUCUGUGCUAGACUUCAAAGGUCUGAAGGACUACCUGCUCCAGAGCUGGCCCACCAGACCACCCUCCAUAACCCCUUCAUCUGCCUGGAUCCUGCGGCAUGAAUACCAUCUGCAAUACUUUGUGCUAGCAUUGGCUCAGAAAAUGGCAGGCAUUUGUCCGGAUUACGCUCAGCACGCCUCGCUCCAUCACUGUGUUGCCAUGGCAUUGUUAAGCCGUCUGUUGCCAGGGAGUGAGCAUCUGGCUCAUGAGCUCCUUUUGGGUCUCGCCUUUAAUCCAGAAUUCAUUCCAGAAGGGAAAACUGGAGGGCCAGAAGCAGCUGAUUUCUCUGAUAUCCUACAUCUGGGCACAAGCACAAAGCUGGUACAGCCUGGCUCAGUGGCCGCAGGUUUCCCCAAACCCCGCCGCGGUGUGUUGCUGGGAGAAUCAUACCAGCAUCUCCCUUUCAUUCGUGCCUGUUACCUCUCUCAGUUUGUUCACUUGGAGCCUGCUCUUGCUCGUUCCCAGGUAGCCUACCAAGGAAGAACUUACCUCGUCCAAUCGUUGCUGCUUCCUGAAGUCAAAGGGCCCAUCCUACCUUCUGACUGGCCAUUCCUUCCUCUUAUCAGCCUCUACAACAAAGUGACCAGUGCAGAGACACGGGGGGCUGUACUGAACACUCUUCCACCUGAUCUAGUGAACACUGUGACCCGGAACCUGCAGUGGGUCCUGCUCCUGGAAACGUGGCGUGCCAGAGUACUUCAGAACAUCCCAGCUGCUGCCAAACUGGCACGGCUUAUGUGUGUGUUCCUCACAGGCGGUGACCUGUUCUUGGAAGGACCUGUUCAUUGCUACACAGCUGCCCUUCUUGCUCUCUAUUGCCAACCCAAAGUCCUGGACUCCCUGGAAUUGGAUGCCCCUCUCCCUGGCUUGGCAUCAUUCCAUGACCUCUAUAUAAGUGUUCUGGAGCAGUUUGAAGGAGUCUCCUUUGGUGACCCCCUUUUUGGAGCCUUUGUUCUCCUUCCUUUGCAGAGGCGGUUCAGCAUUCAGCUGCGGCUGGCAGUUUUUGGGGAGCAUGUGAGCACCUUGAGAGCCCUGGGAGUGCCACUCAAACAGUUUCCUGUGCCGCUGGAGCGAUACACCUUGCCUCCCGAGGACAACCUGAACCUCUUGAGACUGUAUUUCCAAACACUGGUCACUGGUGCGCUGCGUCAUACCUGGUGCCCUGUUCUUUAUGCUGUGGCUGUGGCUCAUGUGAAUAGCUUCAUUUUCUCUCAGGAUAGCACAACACAGGAGGCUGAUACUGCUCGGAAAAGCAUGCUGCGGAAGACCUGGCUGUUGGUGGAUGAGGUAUUGAAAAAGCAUCUUCUCUACUACAAAGUGCCCAACCCAGAGAGCCCGAUGGGCGUUGACCUUUAUGAGCAGCUCCCUCCCAUUCGACUGAAGUACCUGCAAAUGGUGACCAAGAAAGAGCCCAAGGAGAACAUGCAGAUGUCAGACCCAGAGUGAAGCACCUCAGCUACAGAAGGACUGAGGGCCAGGAAAGGUCAUUUUAGACAAGCUGAUGAAAAAAUUUAAGUGAACUCCAUGGGGUGCAGUGUUGCCUGGGCAUCCUGGCCAUAUUGGCAAAGGGAAAGGCAAAUAAACCCCUUCAGCACUGUGGCACAUCACAUGGCUUCUCAGGAUGUGGUUGACCUGCACGUAGCCUAGGUAUGUCUAGUGCUGGAACAUCCUUUUGGAUUCUGACUUGCUGCUUCUUGGGGCUGGAGAGCGCGAACAAACAUGCCUGUGAAGUGGAAUGAAAUCCUGGUUCUGGUGAGGCCAGAAGACUCAUUACUGGAGAGCUAAUGAAGUGAUGUCAGCAGAGGAGGUAGAAAAGACAAAGUUGAGGAGCAGGGAUUUUAAUUAAGCAUGUAAAACUGGGGGCUUGGUUUUUAUCGUUACCACCUAUUUAGUUAAAUACUAAGCUUUUGAAUAAAGGAAGAGCUUCUUAAA